CCCAGCAUGGCAUAAUGGUUUGAGUUUUAGACUACAACUCUAGAGACAAAGGUUCAGUUCCUCGCUUGGC